UUCAGCUUUGCAGCUUGAUGUGCCGGAGCCAGUGGGAGGCUUUGCUUUCCACCCACGCUGGCAGUAGGGAGCUGUGCAGCGCACAGGUAUUGCUGCGCCUGUCUGAGCCUGUUUCCUCGGCUGUGAGAUGGGGAUUACAAUCCAGCCGCCUCCCGAUUUCGCAGGGCUGCGUCAGGCCAGGAGCUCUUGAAGACAGGAUUCUUACCCAGUUAUGUACAUCACAUCCAUAAUCCCACAUCAGGCAUCAUCUGCAAUGGGUGUAACAAAUGUUUGUCUAAAGAAACGAAUCAGCCAAUAUUAUGGUAUUUACAAGAGAAAAAAGGCACAGCAUUCGGUCAAUUUGAGAUAAAGCAGAGCACCUAUGCCUGGAUGUGGGUCACUAUGCAACUAAGAACUUACUGCCACCUAGUGGCAACCUAUACUUGUCAUACCAGGCCUGCCAGUGCGGGUGCUGCAAAUCAAACCUUGUGAAGGUAAAAUUGGUCAAUAUCACGUGUAUUGACUCCUA